rnacentral:rRNA from 1 species
AAAACAAGUACCGUGAGGGAAAGUUGAAAAGUACUUUGAAGAGAGAGUUCAAGAGAACGUGAAACCCGAAGAGUAGAAGCGGAACAAGUUGAAAUUGCUAAACGAUGAUAUAAUUAGGCUAUUGGCGGGUUAUGGAGUCGUGGUGCUGCGCUGGCUGCACUGUCCGAGGCCUCGUUGCUUGGUAAGUGUCGCCCCUUCUUUGGUUUGGUGACGCGUUUGUUCGACCAGCCUGCCGUUACAGUGUUUCGCAUGUAGCUUUGGGUUUGGGCUCGUGUUAAAAGUUGGUCACCUCUCCGACCCGUCUUGAAACACGGACCGAGGAGUGUAGCGUAUGCGCGAGUCAGAGAGUUAUAUUAUUCCCAUCGGCGUAAUGAAAGUAAAGGUCUAUUCUUAAACUGAGAUGCGAGGUCCGUCUCUUUUAGAUGAACUGCAUCAUCGCCCCGUCUCGAAAGCUUGCUGUUGGGUGGAGGUUGAGCGUAUUCGUAGCUACCCGAAAGUUCCUUCCCUGACCAGGACGCAGAGGAAAAUCUGUUAGAAGCGAAGCCCUUCUGACGUG